GAAUACACAAGGUGCUGCAGAUCAGGAACAGACAUAAAGAGAAAUACCUAUAGGACAAAAUAUUUGGAUCUUUUGGAACUGCCAGCUUUUGUAUUUCUGAAGUCAGAACGUACACAGGGAAGGGGCAUGUUCACUUUUCUGAUUGGAGCUUCCUUCAUAUUGACGGUGCAAUCGGAGCCCAGAUGUGAUCAAACAGAGUUCUUGCACCAUAAUGGCACCUGUGUCGCAUGCCCUGUUUGUCAGCCUGGGGAACAGCUUUCAGGGGAUUGUGGCUUUGGUGAUGGUGGGGAUGGGGUGUGUAUUCCAUGUGAAGAGGGGACCUUCAGCACAGACACGGGUGUGGAUCCAUGCAGGAGAUGCACCCAGUGCAAUCUGCUGAACCGCCUGGUGUUGACCGCCUGUUCACCCAUCAGUAAUGCUGUGUGUG